AAUGAACGUUGGCGGCGUGCUUAACACAUGCAAGUCGAACGAGAAAGUCCUGGAUGAGUACAGUGGCGAACGGGUGCAUAACGCGUGAGAAUACUACCCUUCGAGUGAAGGAUACCCACGAGAAAUCGUGGCUAAUACUGCAUAAGUCCGGAAACCGGAGAAAGACGGCUCUUUGCUGUCGCUGAAGGAUGAGCUUGCGUCCUAUUAGCUAGUUGGUGAGGUAAUGGCUCACCAAGGCAACGAUGGGUAGCCGGCCUGAGAGGGUGUACGGCCACAUUGGGACUGAGAUACGGCCCAGACUCCUACGGGAGGCAGCAGUGGGGAAUAUUGCGCAAUGGGGGAAACCCUGACGCAGCGCGCCGCCGUGGAGGAUGAAGGUCUUAGGAUUGUAAACUUCUGUUAAGUGGGAGAAAUGUGUGCCUAAUACGUCACAAAGCUGACGGU
rnacentral:rRNA from 1 species